rnacentral:lncRNA from 1 species
GCAAAGCACAUGUGUCCUGUGGCUUAGGAACCUCGUCAUUGUCUCCGGAGCUGAAGCAGCUGUGGGAGCCAGGGGCUGUGUGGCUCAGGGUUUAAAGCGAGGUAUCUGGAGAAUUUUGGAGAACUCUUGCAUUUCUGACCCCUUAAUUCAGGGCCUUGUGAGAAAAUUGGGUCAAAAGAAGACAGAAAGGAGCCUAGAAAAUAUCAUAUGAUCUUCUGUCAUUCCUGCCACUCCAGCCACUAGUGUACCUGCUGGAAAGCCGCCUCACCAGGACAGGCAGAGCCACAGAUGCCAGCCACACUAGAUGGUCCUCAUGAUCUGAGGGGAGGGCAGGUUUGGAAAGGCCAGAGCCGACCCAAGUUGGUCUUUAUGCUCAAGCAUGUGUGACAGAAUUGGGCUCUUGUUUGCAUACUCUUCAGUUAUAAUUUUAAAGCCACUGCCUUUCCCAUACCCUCAUACCUGAAUAUUCAAUCAGGGGAACACUGAGCACCACUUUGGGAAAUUAGGAAGAUGUCAACAUAAAUGGGGUCACCCAGCAGGGACCCCAAGCCAGUGACUGUGUCAUUUUCUAAAAAAUAAGGCAGAAACAAAACUUUACCAAAUCUUCAUAUUAAAUUGAC